ACCCACUUGUCAUUGUGCCAACAUUGUCCUUUAGUUUAAUUAGCUUUUUGUUCUCUUUGAUGUUGGCCUUUUAAAAUAUUGAUGGAGACCAGUCAUAUCACCUCUCGGUCCUCAUUGACGGAGGCUCUUCUCACACAGGCAGAUCUCCAUUACCCUGAUCAUCUUAACAGCCCUUUCUUUCAUUCCCUCCAGUUUUGCAGUUCUCUCAGGGAUAUGUGACCCUACAGAACUCGUUAAUUCCUACAAGGGUCUGUAUUACCUACGCCAGGAUUACUAACAUUUUGCCACCGCUAAAAACCUUUCUCAUCAUGUUGUCAAAUCAGAAUUACCUGCCUUGCUGCAAUACGAUACUGUGAGCAACUUUCGUAUGGGAUAUCUUAAACCUUCAAGAAGUUCAAUACAAAAACUGAAUAUAACUGAUGAAGGAGACACUCUUCCCACAUAAUUUUGGUUCUCCAAAAACUGUAUGAAGUUUAAGCCUUCUAGUCUAUGGACUAUGAGAGAAAUAUCCAGAGGGCAGUUCACUGGUGCAAUAUGUGAAAUGAAAUGAAGAACCGGUCAGAUACACAUAUGCAUCAUGCAGCCACAGCCUCAAAAAUGUCAGAAGUUCAGAACAAGCAGAAAAGAUCACAUCCAGCUCCACUCCAAGAGCAACAAGUAUGCCCUGUUUGACCAGACAAUUAUAGGACCCCAGCUGGAGGCUUCAGUCAGCAGAGAUUUUAAUAACACUGACAGACCUUGGAUUGCUUGGUCCUCUGAGC